CGACUACUUGACCUCCUCUUUGCGCGGCAAACUGCCCCACCCUUUAAGAAUAGCACAGGCAAAAAUCAUCUCUUGAUUCUUGUACACAGGAGGAGUUUUUGAAAGCGACGAGGAAGACGGAUUCUCGUCACUCUCUGAUCGAUGUCAGAAGGAAGGGAUCCAGCCGGGUGGAGUAAGCCUGCCGGGAUGCAUGUAUGACUAAGCGGUCCACAAUGCCCUGCAGAUUAAACACAUACAUAACCAGGCUUAUGACAUCCAGGAAAGCCAGGAGGAUAAAUGUGGAUAGCUGCACUGGUAGCCGAGAGGACGGCCCCCCUCCCAGCCCCUUCGGCUGGGCAGCGAGGCCUGCCAGACGGCGGGGGGAGAGCUCCCCUUCGUCUGGGUCUUUUUGGAGCUCGGCAGCACCAUCCCCGGACGGACGGUCUGCACAGGCCGGCAGGAGCCGAAUCACUCACCUCGGGCACGUGC